GGGGGUGGCUGGGGAUUCUUCAAUUGCCCAUCGGGUUCCUUUCAUAAACACGAGGAUGCUUGUCUAAUUCCAGCAGAAAUCCGUGGCCUGACCGUGACACUUGUGCUUAGAGUCUUAGCACAUGGUCUGGCGCUGCUGCUGGGAAUCCUGAGUCACUCUUCUCCUGUGAUUCCUAAUGUUGAAGGGAGUCUCUGCAGAGGAGGAAGGACAGUCUGUCAGGUUAAAUUUGAUUAUUUCUCAAAUACUACUGUCAACUCUGCCAAAUAAUGCAAGGACAGAACAAACUGUGUGAGUUCUUGAUACGACCUCCUGCCUGGCUCUUGUUCAAUUAUCUCUAUGUUUCAUCUCUGAAGUGGAGAUAAUAAUAGUACCUACCUCAUAGGAUUGUUGUGAAGAGUCGGGGUUACUCCUUCUAAGUACUUCAAAUAGUAAGUACUCCAUAAAUGCUGCUACUUUUAUAACCCAUUUCCUGGCUCUCUCCAUUCCUUCUCAUCUAUCUUAUUUAGGCCUUUGCUAUCUCACAUAAGCUAUUGCCACUCCCUUGCAUAGGGCCAGUCCACACAGCCAUAUAUAAAACUGUCUUAAUUGGCUAUAAUUCCCUCAUUCGUUCACUCUACAAAUAUCUAUAAAUCACUUACUAUGAAUGUGUCAUUGUACUAGCUGCUAUGGCAGAGUCCCAAAAUAGAAAACACAGCCUGCCAUUGGUAAAGAUUGAGGAAAGGAUUUAUAUAUGUGUAAAAUGCUCAAAAAUAGGAUGGAUUGAAUAGCCACAUAAACUAAUACAAGAGGAGUCAUAAGGUAUUACUGUGAGUUUCCCACUUAGCAAACCUCUGUGCAAUCUUUUACUGCUUUAAAAAUUUGCAUGUGGAGUUCCCAUUGUAGUGCAGCAGGUUAAGGGCCUGGUGUUGUCACCGCAGUGGCUUGAGUUGCUGCUAUGGCUUAGCUUCCAUCCCUGGGCCGGUAACUUCAACAUGCUUUGGACAGGGUCAAAAAUAACAACAACAACAAAACAAAAAGAAAGCGAACAAAAAAACCCAGGAAAAUAAAAUAAAACAAAACCCCCA
rnacentral:lncRNA from 1 species